CCUACGGGAGGCAGCAGUGGGGAAUAUUGCACAAUGGGGGGAACCCUGAUGCAGCGACGCCGCGUGGGUGAAGGAGUAUUUCGGUAUGUAAAGCCCUAUCAGCAGGGAAGAACAAUGACGGUACCUGACUAAGAAGCACCGGCUAAAUACGUGCCAGCAGCCGCGGUAAUACGGAUGGUGCAAGCGUUAUCCGGAUUUACUGGGGGUAAAGGGAGCGCAGGCGGCGCGUUAAGCCUGGUGUGAAGGCCCGGGGCCCAACCGCGGGACUGCAUUGGGAACUGGCGGGCUGGAGUGCCGGAGGGGUAGGCGGAAUUCCUAGUGUAGCGGUGAAAUGCGUAGAUAUUAGGAGGAACACCAGUGGCGAAGGCGGCCUACUGGACGGUGACUGACGCUGAGGCUCGAAAGCGUGGGGAGCAAACAGGAUUAGAUACCCGGGUAGUC
rnacentral:rRNA from 1 species